UCUCUGGUAGUAUAUCGGAUAGUACACCCGCCUGUCAAGUAAUUACGUAAAAGCUUAUGUAAGCCCUCCGCGGGAGAGCGGGGUUCGACUCCCCGCCAGAGAG